AAUGAACGCUGGCGGCGUGCUUAACACACGCAAGUCGAGCGCGAACGGGACUUCGGCCCUGAGUAGAGCGGCGAACGGGUGAGUAACACGUGGGUAACCUGCCAUGGAGCGUGGGAUAACCUGGGGAAACUCGGGCUAAUACCGCAUACGUUCGCUGUGCUGCGGCACGGCGAGGAAAGAUGGCCACUGCUUGCAAGCUAUCUCUCCCAGAGGGGCCCGCGGCUGAUUAGCUAGUUGGCGGGGUAACGGCCCACCAAGGCGACGAUCAGUAGCCGGUCUGAGAGGGCGAUCGGCCACACUGGAACUGAGACACGGUCCAGACUCCUACGGGAGGCAGCAGUGGGGAAUAUUGGACAAUGGGGGCAACCCUGAUCCAGCAACGCCGCGUGGGGGAUGAAGGUCUUCGGAUUGUAAACCCCUGUUGAGAGGGACGAAGGCUUUGGAGGCAAACAGUCCGGAAGCUUGACGGUACCUCGAGAGGAAGCCCCGGCUAACUCUGUGCCAGCAGCCGCGGUAAUACAGAGGGGGCGAGCGUUAUUCGGAAUUAUUGGGCGUAAAGGGCGCGUAGGCGGCACGCGUAAGUCUCGGGUGAAAUCCCCUCGGCUCAACCCGGAGGAACUGGCCUGGAAACUGCGUGGCUUGAGGCCGGCAGAGGAGGGUGGAAUUCCC
rnacentral:rRNA from 1 species